rnacentral:rRNA from 1 species
CAGUAGCCGCGGUAAUACGAAGGGGGCUAGCGUUGUUCGGAAUUACUGGGCGUAAAGCGCACGUAGGCGGAUUUUUAAGUCAGGGGUGAAAUCCCGAGGCUCAACCUCGGAACUGCCUUUGAUACUGGAGAUCUUGAGUUCGGAAGAGGUUGGUGGAACAGCUAGUGUAGAGGUGAAAUUCGUAGAUAUUAGCUAGAACACCAGUGGCGAAGGCGGCCAACUGGUCCGAUACUGACGCUGAGGUGCGAAAGCGUGGGGAGCAAACAGGAUUAGAUACCCGUGUAGUCCCUGUCUCUUAUAA